UUCACCUAUACUUAAAUGAAUUUUGUUUUCUUUUGGAAACCCUCGUUCUUCUCCUCCAAAAACACGCGCCUUGCUCAGCUCCUUCUCUGCUUCACGCCGUUUUCACGUCACCACCACUCGCCGUCGCCCUUCUCCUUCGUCUUCACAUUUGCUCACCCCCACUCACCGUUGCCCUUCUCCUUCGUCUUCUCACCAUCGCUCACCACUCACCGCGUCGCUCCUCAUCUUCUUCACCUUCGCUCACCACUCACCAUUGCCGCUCCUCAUCUUCGUCGUUCACCACUCACCGAGACAUUGAAGUUCUUCUCUCUCUCAAAGAAAAACCCUAGCCGCUAUUCUCUUUUUCAAGCUGUGUCGCCGCCGUCGAAUCUGGUCCAGCCGCCGUCCCCGCUCCUACUGCUCCAGCGCCGUCGCAACUUGUCUUUUUCAUUGCGUUGCGUCGCCUCUGUUCCACUGCCGUUGUUUGUUCCAGUUCCGUCGCCUGUGCUCCACUGCUCCCUCUCCCUCAUCUUGGUUUGAGUUCUGUCCUGCAUCUGAAGAAUGAUGACAUAUUGAUUCUAAAUCUGAAUAGUAUUGAUUAAGAGAAAAGCAAUAAUUAGAGGACAUGUACUGAAAAUUAUAUGUUAGAGGACAUAGUUUCUUGGGUUUUGACAAAUCUGAGCCGAGCACCUGAUUUACAACGCGGGGUUACAAGAAUAUUCCAUUGCACUGCUAAGCCAGUUGAGUUAUUCAAGCUAUUUUGUCAGCUGGAAAACAGCUUCAGCAACUUAACAUACGCGAGGAGGAAAACAAUAAUUUGCGUUCUAAUCUGUUGAGAAGACUGAUUCUGUCUGCCUCCUCUGACAGUGUUAUUGCCAAUGCUACAAAAAUGUUGUCUUCUUUAAACAAAGAAUCUGCUGAUCAAGGCGAUCUAACAAAUUUGAUCAUUGCAUCUGAGGCACAAUUUCCAGAGGUUACUAGAGCUCGGAAAGCUUUUCGAAUGGAAGAGGAACAAUUAAAUUCAUUGAUCGGCUUGUAUCGCAAGCGCCUUGGAGCGGAAUUUGGAAUUCAUGAGUGUUUCUGGAAUUACUCAUUUGAUAGAGAUAGAUAGCAAUGAGUAUAUUUGGUGGAAGGCUAAUGCUAGAGAGACAAAGGAAGAACUAAUUGAUAGAGAGCCUAAGUUCCUGGAUUAGUAUAUUUCUGUUUAAGAACACUUUUAUUGUUAAUUGUUUACAAUUAUAUAAACAGCAGUGUAUUAUAGAUGUACUAAGGAAUAACUCCAU